AGAGUUUGAUCCUGGCUCAGGACGAACGCUGGCGGCGUGCUUAAUACAUGCAAGUCGAACGGAGAGUUAGCAAUAGCUCUUAGUGGCGAACGGGUGAGUAACGCGUUGGUGACCUGCCCCGAAGACAGGGAUAACAGCUCGAAAGGGCUGCUAAUACCCGAUGAUGUCUCGUUAGUUAGAGCGGCGAGAAGAAAGUCGCAAGACGCUUUGGGAGGGGCCUGCGUCCCAUCAGCUAGUUGGUAAGGUAACGGCUUACCAAGGCUCAGACGGGUAGGGGGCCUGAGAGGGUGAUCCCCCACAUUGGCACUGAAACACGGGCCAAACACCUACGGGUGGCAGCAGUAGGGAAUAUUGCACAAUGGGCGAAAGCCUGAUGCAGCAACGCCGCGUGCGCGAAGAAGGCCUUCGGGUCGUAAAGCGCUUUUCGGGGAGAAGAGGAAGGACGGUAUCCCCGGAAUAAGGCUCGGCUAACUACGUGCCAGCAGCCGCGGUAAUAC
rnacentral:rRNA from 1 species